GGAUGUGAUCAUACCAGCACUAAAUCACCGGAUCCCAUCAGAACUCCGAAGUUAAGCGUGCUUGGGCGAGAGUAGUACUAGGUCGGGUGACCUCCUGGGAAGUCCUCGUGUUGCAUUCC
rnacentral:rRNA from 1 species